GACGAACGCUGGCGGCGUGCUUAACACAUGCAAGUCGAACGGAAAGGCCCUGCUUUUGUGGGGUGCUCGAGUGGCGAACGGGUGAGUAACACGUGAGUAACCUGCCCUUGACUUUGGGAUAACUUCAGGAAACUGGGGCUAAUACCGGAUAGGAGCUCCUGCUGCAUGGUGGGGGUUGGACAGCUUCGGCGGGUGGGGAUGGACUCGCGGCUUAUCAGCUUGUUGGUGGGGUAGUGGCUUACCAAGGCUUUGACGGGUAGCCGGCGUGAGAGGGGAGCCGGCCACAUUGGGACUGAGAUACGGCCCAGACGCCUACGGGAGGCAGCGGGGGGGAAUAUUGUACAAUGGGCGGAAGCCUGAUGCAGCAACGCCGCGUGCGGGAUGACGGCCUUCGGGUUGUAAAGCGCUUUCGCCUGUGACGAAGCGUGAGUGACGGUAAUGGGAGAAGAAGCACCGGCUAACUACGUG
rnacentral:rRNA from 1 species